rnacentral:lncRNA from 1 species
UUACUUAUCGAAAAUAAUAGAAUCAACUCAAAAUCAACAGAGCUUCAAGUUAUAUCUCUGAAAAAUACAACUGAAGCGAUUACAACUUGGACAUCGGAGAUACAUCACCAAUUUCCUUCAGUUUCUAAAUGUAAAUGCUUCAAGUUCUUAGGAUAAAGAAGCAACAAACCACCUAAGAUCAAAUUCACAUUUACAUUUGUAUAUAAAUUCUCAGAUUUGACGCCAGAUUUUUUUUUUUUAAUUGAGCCCUGUACCUCUAUCUGCAAUAAAGAGGCAUAAUUAAUUCACUCUAUGAAGUUUCCACUCCAAUACAAGCCACAAUUGGAAGUUCCAUCAUUUAGCUGAAGAAGACCAUUAGCUUUCUGCUGGAGCAGAAUUUUUGCCUUUGCGUGAUCUCUUUCUUUUCCUGCCUCUACUUCUCACCGUCUCAUCACCACCUUUGCUUUCCUGUACAAAAACCUCCACAUUUUAAUAAUGUAAAGUAUCACUGUUAUUUCAGCUCAUUGGUGCCCAGGGAUUUUAACUUAACCAGUUUUUUCAACACCUCAAAGUUAUUGAAUUAGUAAUACUUUCCAGUAUUAGUUUGAAUAUUAAACACAUUCAUGUGAAUACAUGUAUGCACCCAGAUCUCACCAUCUCAUGAUACUCUAAACAGUUUCAUCUAUAUUCUUUCAGUUGGCAAACCCUAUAUCACCCUUCCAGAGGCCAGUGAAUUGACUCAUUUGAAAUGUCUGAUAUGAAAUACACAGGUAACAAUCAAAAACACACAAAGCUGAGUACCACCAUAGAUUACACUCCCUAUUAUAACCCUGUCAGUUACCAGAAAAAAGAUGCGUUAACAAGCAAGAUUGAAAAGCUAUAUCUGACUACAGCAUUGUUUUCUCAUUUGUCAAAAUUUUACCAUAAGUGACCGCAACCAUUUCCACUACAUCUUUAUUUUUAACCCUUUUCUAUAGCAGGCCAACACAUUGAACACAUCCAUGGAAUAAUUGAAAUAAAAGGGCCAAGGUGAUUUCAACAAUAAUUGACAUGGCCAUGAAUUUCAACUCCAAAACCUCCAAGUUGCAACUAAAAAUGUGUAAAAAGAAAAUGACAGGGAGAGCGCAAU